CUAUCACAACAUGAUCGAUCUGGUUGCGAGUGAUUCGAUCCGGGGACAGAGAAGUAGCUUGAUGGAUUUUCUUAUGCUGGAAUCUAGUACUACAGACGACCAUAUUUCGGGCCCGGCGAAGUCGUUCAGCCUCAGACCGUUUGGUGAUGUUUCGUCAUUGAGGCUGAAUUUUCCGACUGUUGUGCCAAAGACACCUUCUUUACCCACCCUAGCGUUGAAAUCGCCAAGCACGAUUUUGACAUCGUGGCGGGGGCAGCGCUCAUAGGUACGUUCUAGGCGCUCAUAGAAGGUAUCUUUGAUCACUUCGUCCUUCUCUUCCGUCGGGGCGUGGGCGCAAAUCAGCGAUAUGUUGAAGAACCUCGCUUUGAUGCGGAUUGUGGCUAGACGUUCAUCCACCGGAGUGAAUGCCAGGACUCGGCGACGGAGUCUCUCUCCCACCACGAAUCCCACACCGAGUUCCCAAACCCUAUGCACAACCGCGAAGCGGGUUUCGCCUUCUCACUUUAGCUCGCCUCCAAACGGAUGUCUGUUGGCUAACCAGAGGAUACUUGGUCUAAGACCGGAAGUCGUGAGCUGCUUGAGCCACAUGUAAAAGAAUCGUUCCUGGCCACUCCCAAGUGAAUGACAGUCAGAAACUUUCCUCACCUACGUGAACUUCUACAUAUGAUUCUAUGUUCAUUUAGACUUUUAAAAUUGAUUAAUAGUUUCAUAUUAAUAAUUUUCUAUAUUAAAAUUAGCGAACCGAAAACUCUUUUUACGCAAAUAAGAGUUUUUUGUCGUUGUAAUUAUAAAAUACGCUUUUGGUUCCGUUUUUAUUUAUUAUGCGUUUGUAUUUAAAUGCGUUUGGAAUCUCGUUAUAUUAUUACCUACAGACUUAUUCGAAUGUCCUUGUUUAUAUGAUCGCACGUGUUUUUAUGUGGUGGUUCUUAAACCCUACGCACAACCGCGAAGCGGGUUUCGCCUUCUCACUUUAGCUCGUCUCCAAACGGAUGUCUGUUGGCUAACCAGAGGAUACUUGGUCUAAGACCGGAAGUCGUGAGCUGCUUGAGCCACAUGUAAAAGAAUCGUUCCUGGCCACUCCCAAGUGAAUGACAGUCAGAAACUUUCCUCACCUACGUGAACUUCUACAUAUGAUUCUAUGUUCAUUUAAACUUUUCAAAUUGAUUAAUAGUUUCAUAUUAAUAAUUUUCUAUAUUAAAAUUAGCGAACCGAAAACUCUUUUUACUCAAAUAAGAGUUUUUUUUCGUUGUAAUUAUAAAAUACGCUUUUGGUUCCGUUUUUAUGUAUUAUGCGUUUGUAUUUAAAUGCGUUUGGAAUCUCGUUAUAUUAUUAGCUACAGACUUAUUCGAAUGUCCUUGUUUAUAUGAUCGCGCGUAAGAGGUCAAUAUCCUUUGUACAUAUGAGUGCACGUUAUGUGCUUGUUUGUGUGCAUGUAAUAUGCGUUAAUUAUGUUGGCACAAACCUGCUUGUUUUUGUUGUACAAAGAACAAGGGGUAUGUAAGAGAAUAUUUGCCCUUGCGGGCCGUGAUUAUAAGUAAAUGUACAAAUUGUAUAAUAUAAACCGAUCGUGUUUUUAUGAUUCUUUAAUUGUUCAAAUUUACCCUAUGUUAGUUGGAUAUAUAAGCAUUGGUAGCACAAUUACAAUACGUAUGCGUAUGUACGUUUGUUUGCGCUGUAAGAAGACUGUGGUAAGAGCGAAUUGAAUGAUGUGCGGGUCUUUGACCUCAGCACUUAUAAUUAUGUAUGCGUGUGGAGGUAUUAAUGUAAUGUACCAACAUGCAAAUGUGGGACGUAUGAUUUUGGAAGUGAAGAGAACGAGAGAAUUGAAUUGUUCAAGAACCGGUUUUUAAAUAGAAAUAUGUUGUAUAUGUAUGUAAGUAUGUAAUAUGUUAAAUACACAGUAUUAAUUUAUAUGCUGUAAAUCAAUAUGCAAAUAUGUAUGUUCUUUUAAAUCUUUUUUUCUUUAUUUGAUUUCUUUAUGCCGUAUGCUUAUUUAUUUAAUGCAAUCCUGCUUGCUGUUUCAUGAAACAGAAGGGGUACUGCCGGAAAUUAUUGCAAGUAGAUGCUUGAAUAUAUUUUUUUUUUUUUGAAGUGUUUAUGUGUGUUUGUUUACACAAAUAUAAGCUCGAUUAGGCAUGCGACAAUGCAAUUAUGUGAUGUAUAUAUUUAUAUAUAUAUAUACAUACAUAACAAAGAAUUUGUAAUUUUAUUUUGUUUUCUCUACCUUUUUAAAAAGGUGUUUGCAUACAUAUGUACGUACGAACUAAUAAUAAGAAUGGAUACAAUCACUCUAGUCCGCCUCAAAGGGGUAUUAGGGUGGUACUUAAAAUGUGUGUGUAUGUAGUUUGUAAUUCCUGAUUUGAUGUCCAGCAGGUAGAUUCCUGUUGUCCUGUCGUGUCCUCUCAUGUAUGUUAGUGUAGAUUUUUUUUUUUAACUGUUAUAAGUUACUGUGGUUUUAAUAUCGCGCCCGUUUUUUUUUAAUGUAAGUCUACACUUUCACUGCACCUGUCUCUAUGUAUUUAGUAUGUAUUUUUUUUUUCACCGCAUUUUGAUAUUGGUGUAUUCUUCCACAAGUGCCUUUCUAAAGGCUCGAAGGACCAUAUAGUGAAUUCAUCACUUACCUCUGGGUCCUCUGUUCCACAACACUAAUGAUUUUUUUAUUUUCGUUUUAUAAUAGUUUUUUAUUUUACAAUAUUUUGAAUUUAACAGAAGUUGCGAUUCCAAUAAUAAAACAAUUUCGAUAAAAAAUGUAACUAAAAAUCCACGACGAAGUCUGUCUGCGACGAUGCUGCCUCAUACAAACUCGAUAGCAAAAAAGCUGGUUUUUUCUGAUGGUUGAUCCCUUUUGUUAACGUUAUUGUGUAAAAAGUCUCCAGUGUAAUGUCCUCUUGGUGUGCGUUUGUGUGUGUUGAUGUGUGAGGUUCUCGUGUGCGUUUGUGUGUAUUGAGGUGUGAAGUUCUCGUGAGAGAUUUAUGCGUGUGUGUUAAUGUGGAUGGUAGGUGAUGCUAUGGUGAGUAUGGUGAUGGUGAAGUGUCAGUGAUGCGUAUUGGAGCGUGUUAAAUGAUGUGUGUGUGGUAUGUAUUGCUGAAUGGGAUGUGUCCGGGGUAACUAGUAGUGUGGUGUGUGGGAGACGGGGUCGAUGCUCAUUUAUACAAUGAUGAUUCAAGUUUUAAAUUCUGCCUGCACUCCCGGAGUGCAACCCCAUUCUUUUUUUACUCAACAAGUAAAUGAAAUAACUGAAACAAAUAUUGGUACUAGGUGAUGCUGGAUUACCUCUGGAAACAUUUCUCAUGACUCCGUAUUGCAAAACUGUCCCAUUUUUUCUCCACCAUUUUUGCUAUUUGUUACUUUUCUUAAAAAAAAAGAAUGGGGUUGCACUCCGGGAGUGCAGGCAGAAGUGAAAACUUGAACUUAUGGCGUGUUGGGCACUUUUUUGGGUGAGCAUUUUUAGGUGCGCUCGAGACAUGAGAAAUUGUACAUAAAAAAUCAAGUUUAUCAAAGCAAUGUGGGCACUUUUUGAAUGGACAUGAAGUAUAAUAAUAUAGAAACUAUAUUCGAAGGAAAUGGUUUUAUUUAAAUGAGUAAAUAUUAGUAAAUAGUAAAUACAAAAUUUAUCAGUUCUCAUCCAUAAUUUCAAAAACUCUUAUACUACGUUCGGACCGACAUUGAAAACCUCUUGAAAACACAAUUUGUGGAUUGAGGAACCAAAGUCGUUCUGACCGAUAUUUUGUGUUUUCGAUGUGUUUUCAUUGACAAUUCACAAAUGUAUUUGUUUGUUUACAUUUUGAGCAACGAAAAUGGUAAGUUUUAGAAUAUUUGCUUAUAAUUAUUAUUAAUGAUCGUGUUUUAUAGAAUCACAACAAGAAAAUUUUAGUAAUGAAGGUAUUGGCGUUGAAAAGCCAGAUAAAUACUUUGCGUAACGAUGAUUCUUCAAGAGAAUUGAUGGAGACUCUUACUACCCAGCACCUUUGCCUUGCAGAAAAAGGUAGAAGAGUUGAACAAACAACGUUUUAUCCUAUUAGGUAUAUUAUACCUUGGAACUUGGGACACCGAUUAAAUCAUGUUGGACAAAACAACGUAAGCAUAAUUUUUGAGAACACGAUUGCCAACGAAAUGGAUCUGUAUUUUUUAAAGAAAACUUUCGAAUGAACCGAAGUUCAUUUAAUAAAUUAUGCGACAUCCUUCGUCCUCUACAAAGAAUGGAUACGAACUACCGAAAAGCUAUUACGCUCGAGAAAAGAGUGGCUAUAGCAAUAUUUGCAUUAGGCUCAUCUGCAGAGUAUCGUAGUAUCGCUAAUAUGUUCGGGGUAGGAAAAUCUACGGUUUGUGAAAUUUUGCUGGAAUUCUGUACUGAAAUCUGGAGACUACUACAACCAUCCUGUUUCAAAAUGUUUCCACCAAAUAGAGAAAACAUAACAGAAUUGGCGAAUGGUUUCGAGUUACUGGGAUUCCCACAAUGCUUAGGAGCAAUUGACGGAUGCCACAUUGAAGUUCACCCAUCAUCUGAACAAGCUGUGGGUUAUUAUAAUUAUAAAGAGUGAUAUUCCACCGUUUUGAUGGCAUUAGUUGAUGCAAAAUACCGUUUUAUUUACAUAAACGUCGGAAGUUCCGUGCAAUGUAAUGACUCUCAAAUUUAUGAGACGUCGUCACUUAAACGAGAAAUUGAGAAUUGUCCUUUGCUAAGAGAAAUGUCUAGAGAAAUUUCAGGUGCAAAUAUGCCUGUAUUUAUUAUUAGGGAUUCGGCUUUUCGAUUUAGCAAACAAUUGAUGAAACCGUAUCCAUUCAGCGUAAAUCAAAUUCAUCGUGAGAAAGUAUUCAAUUACGCUCUUUCGAAAGCACGUAGAGUUGUCGAAAAUGCUUUUGGACACCUCAAGGCCCGCUUUCGACGAAUUGGAAAAGGAAUUGACAACUCUCUCAAGAAUGCCAAUUCAAUAAUAAAAGCCUGUUGUUGUAGACGCCAAAAUCCGAGCCAUGUGUCAUAUGCAUCUGACGACCCAAUUAAUGGAGAAACGAUACGGACAGCACUUUCUAAAUAUUUAGAUUCAUUCGGCUCAGGUGAUGACAUGGUGAAUGAUGAAGGCUCGGUUGGCGACAUGAUUAUCUCUGUGGGCGAAGGUACGCAAACCGGUGAUGGCAAUGGAGAUUCAGCAACAAAUGAAGGUGUCGCAACC